rnacentral:rRNA from 1 species
CCUACGGGGGGCAGCAGUAGGGAAUAUUGCACAAUGGGGGAAACCCUGAAGCAGCAACGCCGCGUGGACGAUGAAGGUUUUCGGUUUGUAAACCCCUUUUGUCAGAGAAGAUAAUGACGGUAUCUAACGAAUAAGCACCGGCUAACUACGUGCCAGCAGCCGCGGUAAUACGUAGGGGGCAAGCGUUACUCGGAUUUACUGGGCGUAAAGAGCGCGUAGGCGGGAUAGCAAGUCAGAUGUGAAAGCCUAUGGCUCAACCCGGGAACUGCAUUUGAAACUGUUAUGCUAGAGUGUGGGAGAGGUAGGUGGAAUUCUUGGUGUAGGGGUAAAAUCCGUAGAGAUCAAGAGGAAUACUCAUUGCGAAGGCGACCUGCUAGAACAUAACUGACGUUGAUGCGCGAAAGCGUGGGGAGCAAACAGGAUUAGAUACCCGUGUAGUC